rnacentral:tRNA from 2 species
GGGGCAUUAGCUCAGCUGGGAGAGUGUUUGGCUGGCAGCCAAAAGGUCACCGGUUCGAUCCCGGUAUGCUCCA